GACAGAGACAGUUUAAUAUUGGACUGUACAAUUUGGGACGAAGAUCGUUUACAGUCAUAUAACUUGGGAAGAUGAUAUUAGUUUAUUUUGUUAUAGAGUAAAACUUGUGAGACGUUUAUGUAGUGUUUCAAUGUAUAGAUGUCGACAUUAUUAGUAAUAACAUAACUAAUGAUAUGAAAAUUAAAUGUGAACAAUUUCUAAUAGAUAGUCCAAAAUGAAAUAU
rnacentral:lncRNA from 1 species